CCCGGUGCCGGAAGGUUAAUUGAUGGGGUUAUCUUCGGAGAAGCUCUUGAUCGAAGCCCCGGUAAACGGCGGCCGUAACUAUAACGGUCCUAAGGUAGCGAAAUUCCUUGUCGGGUAAGUUCCGACCUGCACGAAUGGCGUAACGAUGGCCACACUGUCUCCACCCGAGACUCAGUGAAAUUGAAAUCGCUGUGAAGAUGCAGUGUACCCGCGGCUAGACGGAAAGACCCCGUGAACCUUUACUAUAGUUUUGCACUGGACUUUGAUGAUGACUGUGUAGGAUAGGUGGGAGGCUGUGAAGUGAGGACGCUAGUUCUCAUGGAGCCGCCCUUGAAAUACCACCCUGUUGUUAUUGAGGUUCUAACUUGGUCCAGUAAUCCUGGAUGAGGACAGUGUAUGAUGGGUAGUUUGACUGGGGCGGUCUCCUCCCAAAGAGUAACGGAGGAGCACAAAGGUACCCUCGGUACGGUCGGACAUCGUACCAAGAGUGUAAAGGCAAAAGGGUGCUUGACUGCGAGAGUGACGGCUCGAGCAGGAACGAAAGUUGGUCUUAGUGAUCCGGUGGUUCUGAAUGGAAGGGCCAUCGCUCAACGGAUAAAAGGUACUCCGGGGAUAACAGGCUGAUACCGCCCAAGAGUUCAUAUCGACGGCGGUGUUUGGCACCUCGAUGUCGGCUCAUCACAUCCUGGGGCUGAAGCAGGUCCCAAGGGUAUGGCUGUUCGCCAUUUAAAGUGGUACGCGAGCUGGGUUUAGAACGUCGUGAGACAGUUCGGUCCCUAUCUGCCGUGGGCGUAGGAAAAUUGAGAGGAGCUGCUCCUAGUACGAGAGGACCGGAGUGGACGAACCUCUGGUGCACCGGUUGUCACGCCAGUGGCAUGGCCGGGUAGCUAAGUUCGGACGGGAUAACCGCUGAAAGCAUCUAAGCGGGAAGCCUCCCUCAAGAUGAGUUUUCCCAUGAAGCCCGUUGAAGACUACGACGUUGAUAGGCAAGGUGUGGAAGCGCAGUAAUGCGUGAAGCUAACUUGUACUAAUUGGCUGAUUGUCUUGACCAUAUAAUCUGAG
rnacentral:rRNA from 1 species